UCCCCGAUGGUGAAAGGCGAAUCGCUGACGCUAUGACUAGAAGCCAUCUUGCGAAGCUUGCCAAAGCCGAUCACCACCGUACUACACAUCAUCGGCGUCACAGAAGACUCGCGGAUAUCUCAAUUGAGCUGAACGCAGCCUAGGUGCACAUCUACGACAUUGAAGCAUAAAUCACCGGCCCAAACACCACUGACCGUCAGAUGCCUAACUUGCGUGGUUAGUCCAAAUGGCUUCCACAAGUACGUCUCCUUGUAUCCCUUCGAAAAACAAAGGCAUUGCUCCAGAGAAGUCAAGCAGUUUGGAAGAGACACACAAGCAGUUAAACCACAAGGCCUCCUGGGACAAUACUCAAUCAGAAUUUCCCUGCAGUUGAUUACCAAUGAGAUAACAAAAGAAAAUCGGCCAUUCCUAGUCCUCAGCCAAGCAGGGUACAAGUCGUUGGCAAGGAAAUUUAAGAAAAAAACAGGACGAAAACAUGGCCUCAAACAGUUGAAGAACAAAUACAUGAGUCUCAAAAAGAUUGGAAUGCUUGGAGGAAGUUGAUAGAUUCUAGCAGAGGCGUGCCAGGGAUUGGUUUUGACAUCGAAAUUGGUAUGUUUCAGGCGUCCAAUGAGUGGUGGGACAAGAUGGAAUCGACAAGUACAAUGUAGUUUCCAUAAACAAGGCUUGUGCAAAGUUCCGAAAAAAAAACUUUGGAAUAUCGCGAGCUGAUGGAGACGGUCUUUAAAGGGUCAUCAGCUACUGGUAAACACCAUUAAACCCUGGGAGAGAAAGUUGUUGAAGCUGCCGAUGUGUCAUCCGAUUCUGUGGACAGUAUCGGUGCCCAGCCAUUUGUUGAUCCAAUACUCGCACAAGCAGAGGAUGUGGACCAGUUCAGGCUAACGUUAAACGGAAACAGACUCUGUCAACAAGUUGUGGAAAGUCGAAGAAAGCAACAAGUGGCGCGUCAAUUAUAGCAGAAAGCAUGAACAAUCUUACAAAUUUGGUCUGUACCCAGAAUCAACAAGUUACGGUGAGCCACCUGACAGGCAAUGAAUCAUUGUACACAAUUUUGGAGUGCAUGCAAAGGCUUAGGAACAUUCCUUCCCUUCUUGAUACGCCGUUAUUCCAUUAUGCGUCGACGCUGAUGGAAAAUGCAGAUUCCUAGGAGGUGAUGACGUGCCAGCUUGAUGACGACCACAUUGUAGGCUAGCUGACACAAAAGCAGCUGCAGUUGAGUGUGGUGGCGCCGUUUGUGAACCUAAAUGGGGCUCCCCGGGUGUGAUAACAGUGUCGUACUGAAGACGCGUUCCAUUCGCUUUGCUUUACAAAACUUUUAAUUACGUUCAUGUUAGACUUGUACUAAACAGGAUGGAUG